AUUGAACGCUGGCGGCAUGCCUUACACAUGCAAGUCGAACGGCAGCACGGAGCUUGCUCUGGUGGCGAGUGGCGAACGGGUGAGUAAUAUAUCGGAACGUACCCUGGAGUGGGGGAUAACGUAGCGAAAGUUACGCUAAUACCGCAUACGAUCUACGGAUGAAAGUGGGGGAUCGCAAGACCUCAUGCUCGUGGAGCGGCCGAUAUCUGAUUAGCUAGUUGGUAGGGUAAAAGCCUACCAAGGCAUCGAUCAGUAGCUGGUCUGAGAGGACGACCAGCCACACUGGAACUGAGACACGGUCCAGACUCCUACGGGAGGCAGCAGUGGGGAAUUUUGGACAAUGGGCGAAAGCCUGAUCCAGCAAUGCCGCGUGAGUGAAGAAGGCCUUCGGGUUGUAAAGCUCUUUUGUCAGGGAAGAAACGGUGAGAGCUAAUAUCUCUUGCUAAUGACGGUACCUGAAGAAUAAGCACCGGCUAACUACGUGCCAGCAGCCGCGGUAAUACGUAGGGUGCAAGCGUUAAUCGGAAUUACUGGGCGUAAAGCGUGCGCAGGCGGUUUUGUAAGUCUGAUGUGAAAUCCCCGGGCUCAACCUGGGAAUUGCAUUGGAGACUGCAAGGCUAGAAUCUGGCAGAGGGGGGUAGAAUUCCACGUGUAGCAGUGAAAUGCGUAGAUAUGUGGAGGAACACCGAUGGCGAAGGCAGCCCCCUGGGUCAAGAUUGACGCUCAUGCACGAAAGCGUGGGGAGCAAACAGGAUUAGAUACCCUGGUAGUCCACGCCCUAAACGAUGUCUACUAGUUGUCGGGUCUUAAUUGACUUGGUAACGCAGCUAACGCGUGAAGUAGACCGCCUGGGGAGUACGGUCGCAAGAUUAAAACUCAAAGGAAUUGACGGGGACCCGCACAAGCGGUGGAUGAUGUGGAUUAAUUCGAUGCAACGCGAAAAACCUUACCUACCCUUGACAUGGCUGGAAUCCCCGAGAGAUUGGGGAGUGCUCGAAAGAGAACCAGUACACAGGUGCUGCAUGGCUGUCGUCAGCUCGUGUCGUGAGAUGCUGGGUUAAGUCCCGCAACGAGCGCAACCCUUGUCAUUAGUUGCUACGAAAGGGCACUCUAAUGAGACUGCCGGUGACAAACCGGAGGAAGGUGGGGAUGACGUCAAGUCCUCAUGGCCCUUAUGGGUAGGGCUUCACACGUCAUACAAUGGUACAUACAGAGCGCCGCCAACCCGCGAGGGGGAGCUAAUCGCAGAAAGUGUAUCGUAGUCCGGAUUGUAGUCUGCAACUCGACUGCAUGAAGUUGGAAUCGCUAGUAAUCGCAGAUCAGCAUGUCGCGGUGAAUACGUUCCCGGGUCU
rnacentral:rRNA from 1 species